rnacentral:lncRNA from 1 species
AGUCAUUGUGGUGUGAUUGACAAUGAACUCCCUGAUAGUGAGGCAAGAUUGGCAUUCUCUUCCUCUGAUGAAGUACAGAUUGCCUUCUGGUGACCUGACACCAAGGGUAUGAUCAAGGCACUCAUGCACGACCUUACAAAGGCAUACAGAGCCAAUGGUGAAAACAUCCACAGACGCCUACAUAUGAUCGACCCAGACGGAAAUU